GAUGAACGCUGGCGGCGUGCCUAAUACAUGCAAGUCGAACGCAUUGAGAGAAGUGCUUGCACUUUUCAAUUUGAGUGGCGAACGGGUGAGUAACACGUGGGCAACCUACCUGAUAGCGGGGGAUAACGAGUGGAAACAUUCGCUAAUACCGCAUAACAAUAGAGAAGGCAUCUUCUUUAUUUAAAAGGCGCUUUCAAGCGUCACUAUCAGAUGGGCCCGCGGUGCAUUAGUUAGUUGGUGGGGUGAAGGCCUACCAAGACGAUGAUGCAUAGCCGAGUUGAGAGACUGAUCGGCCACAUUGGGACUGAAACACGGCCCAAACUGCUACGGGAGGCUGCAGUAGGGAAUCUUCCACAAUGGACGAAAGUCUGAUGGAGCAACGCCGCGUGUGUGAUGAAGGCUUUCGGGUCGUAAAGCACUGUUGUAUGGGAAGAAAUGCUAGGCUAGGAAAUGAGCUUAGUUUGACGGUACCAUACCAGAAGGGGACGGCUAAAUACGUGCCAGCAGCCGCAGUAA
rnacentral:rRNA from 1 species